CACACCAAGCUGGGGGCACAGGUGCACGCGGCCCCUGACUGCAGCGGCCACAUCCUCCCAAGGGACAGUGUCUGAGUGGACUCACUCAGCUGGAGAAGGCUGAGUUCAUCAGUGAGCCCCGUCACAGCACAUGGCACUCACUGGUCCGUGCGCAGCCCUUGGCCGGCUUCGCGGCCUCUCCUCCCCACCCAGGGCGGCCCUGCCGAGCGCUUCGGGAGCCGUGGUGCGUGCCUGCGCUCGUGCAGACUGCUUCUCUCUGUGUUUUGUCUGCACGUCAGUUCAAUUUACAUAAACAGCUCUGUGUAGUA